CGGGGGGGCAAGCGUUGUUCGGAAUUACUGGGCGUAAAGGGCUCGUAGGUGGCCAACUAAGUCGGACGUGAAAUCCCUCGGCUUAACCGGGGAACUGCGUCCGAUACUGGUUGGCUUGAGUUUGGGAGAGGGUUGCGGAAUUCCAGGUGUAGCGGUGAAAUGCGUAGAUAUCUGGAGGAACACCGGUGGCGAAGGCGGCAUCCUGGACCAAUACUGACGCUGAGGAGCGAAAGCCAGGGGAGCAAACGGGAUUAGAUACCCCGGUAGUCCUGGCCCUAAACGAUGAAUGCUUGGUGUGGCGGGUAUCGAUCCCUGCCGUGCCGAAGCUAACGCAUUAAGCAUUCCGCCUGGGGAGUACGGUCGCAAGGCUG
rnacentral:rRNA from 1 species